AGACCCGAAACCCGGUGAUCUAGCCAUGGGCAGGUUGAAGGUUGGGUAACACUAACUGGAGGACCGAACCGACUAAUGUUGAAAAAUUAGCGGAUGACCUGUGGCUGGGGGUGAAAGGCCAAUCAAACCGGGAGAUAGCUGGUUCUCCCCGAAAGCUAUUUAGGUAGCGCCUCGUGAAUUCAUCUCCGGGGGUAGAGCACUGUUUCGGCUAGGGGGCCAUCCCGGCUUACCAACCCGAUGCAAACUGCGAAUACCGGAGAAUGUUAUCACGGGAGACACACGGCGGGUGCUAACGUCCGUCGUGAAGAGGGAAACAACCCAGACCGCCAGCUAAGGUCCCAAAGUCAUGGUUAAGUGGGAAACGAUGUGGGAAGGCCCAGACAGCCAGGAUGUUGGCUUAGAAGCAGCCAUCAUUUAAAGAAAGCGUAAUAGCUCACUGGUCGAGUCGGCCUGCGCGGAAGAUGUAACGGGGCUAAACCAUGCACCGAAGCUGCGGCAGCGACGUUUAUGCGUUGUUGGGUAGGGGAGCGUUCUGUAAGCCUGCGAAGGUGGCCUGUGAGGGUUGCUGGAGGUAUCAGAAGUGCGAAUGCUGACAUAAGUAACGAUAAAGCGGGUGAAAAGCCCGCUCGCCGGAAGACCAAGGGUUCCUGUCCAACGUUAAUCGGGGCAGGGUGAGUCGACCCCUAAGGCGAGGCCGAAAGGCGUAGUCGAUGGGAAACGGGUUAAUAUUCCCGUACUUGGUGUUACUGCGAAGGGGGGACGGAGAAGGCUAUGUUGGCCGGGCGACGGUUGUCCCGGUUUAAGCGUGUAGGCUGGUUUUCCAGGCAAAUCCGGAAAAUCAAGGCUGAGGCGUGACGACGAGGCACUACGGUGCUGAAGCAACAAAUGCCCUGCUUCCAGGAAAAGCCUCUAAGCAUCAGGUAACAUCAAAUCGUACCCCAAACCGACACAGGUGGUCAGGUAGAGAAUACCAAGGCGCUUGAGAGAACUCGGGUGAAGGAACUAGGCAAAAUGGUGCCGUAACUUCGGGAGAAGGCACGCUGACACGUAGGUGAAGUGAUUUACUCAUGGAGCUGAAGUCAGUCGAAGAUACCAGCUGGCUGCAACUGUUUAUUAAAAACACAGCACUGUGCAAACACGAAAGUGGACGUAUACGGUGUGACGCCUGCCCGGUGCCGGAAGGUUAAUUGAUGGGGUCAGCGCAAGCGAAGCUCCUGAUCGAAGCCCCGGUAAACGGCGGCCGUAACUAUAACGGUCCUAAGGUAGCGAAAUUCCUUGUCGGGUAAGUUCCGACCUGCACGAAUGGCGUAAUGAUGGCCAGGCUGUCUCCACCCGAGACUCAGUGAAAUUGAACUCGCUGUGAAGAUGCAGUGUACCCGCGGCAAGACGGAAAGACCCCGUGAACCUUUACUAUAGCUUGACACUGAACAUUGAGCCUUGAUGUGUAGGAUAGGUGGGAGGCUU
rnacentral:rRNA from 1 species